rnacentral:rRNA from 1 species
UACGUAGGGUGCAAGCGUUGUCCGGAAUUAUUGGGCGUAAAGAGCUCGUAGGCGGCUUGUCACGUCGGUUGUGAAAGCCCGGGGCUUAACCCCGGGUCUGCAGUCGAUACGGGCUAGCUAGAGUGUGGUAGGGGAGAUCGGAAUUCCUGGUGUAGCGGUGAAAUGCGCAGAUAUCAGGAGGAACACCGAUGGCGAAGGCAGGUCUCUGGGCCAUAACUGACGCUGAGAAGCGAAAGCAUGGGGAGCGAACAGG